rnacentral:rRNA from 1 species
AUUGAACGCUGGCGGCAUGCCUUACACAUGCAAGUCGGACGCGAAAGGGGGGCAACUCCUGAGUAGAGUGGCGCACGGGUGAGUAAUGCAUCGGAACGUGUCCUGUAGCGGGGGAUAACCUAGCGAAAGCUAGGCUAAUACCGCAUACGUCCUACGGGAGAAAGUGGGGGAUCGUAAGACCUCACACUAUAGGAGCGGCCGAUGCCGGAUUAGCUAGUUGGUGGGGUAAAAGCCUACCAAGGCGACGAUCCGUAGCUGGUCUGAGAGGAUGAUUAGCCACACGUGGACUGAGACACGGCCCAGACUCCUACGGGAGGCAGCAGUGGGGAAUUUUGGACAAUGGGGGAAACCCUGAUCCAGCCAUGCCGCGUGAGUGAAGAAGGCCUUCGGGUUGUAAAGCUCUUUCGGCCGGGACGAAAUCGCACGCGUGAAUAUCGCGUGUGGAUGACGGUACCGGAAGAAGAAGGACCGGCUAACUACGUGCCAGCCGCCGCGGUAA